rnacentral:rRNA from 1 species
UACAGAGGUCCCGAGCGUUGUUCGGAUUCACUGGGCGUAAAGGGUGCGUAGGUGGCAUUGUAAGUUUGAUGUGAAAGCUCAGGGCUUAACCCUGAAAUGGCAUUGAAUACUGCGGUGCUGGAGGUUUGGAGGGGGGACUGGAAUUCUUGGUGUAGCAGUGAAAUGCGUAGAUAUCAAGAGGAACACCAGUGGCGAAGGCGAGUCCCUGGACAACACCUGACACUGAGGCACGAAAGCUAGGGGAGCAAACAGG